ensembl:lncRNA
AUUGUGUAGGCUGCUGCUACUGCCGCUUAGUUCCCACUGCGCAUGCGUUUGGGAAGCCCAGGGUAGGCCCUGCUGUUUUUGUAACUCCAGUCAAUCCAACGCAGGCGUCUAAACCAAAACAAGGAGCGCGAGAUCCCCUCAUGACGGCGAAUAAACUGGUGAUCCUGGGUAUUGGAUUGGUGCCAUCCCUAAUUUUAGGAUAUCCUCUUUUAAAGCAGCACACUGCCUUUGCAGGCAUCCUAAAGUGGAUCCUUUUAACAAAAGUGACUUCAAGCAUAUAGAUGAACGAUUCAAGCAUAUAGAUUUGACGUUAAGGACGCAGUGGUGACUCACUGACAGUCGAAUUCAAGAACAGCGAGGGCCAAACUGUGCCAGACCAUCAGAGAGUCAAAGUGUGUACACGACUAGAAAAUCCACAGCCACUUCAAGGAUAGCACGACACGUGGGAGAUGUGGCAGAGCAUUCAGGCAAUCAGCAACUACAGGACAUCACCCGCCUUUGACAGUGAUGCCUCCCUUCCAGAUGCACUGAACAACUUCUGUGCCUCAAUCUGAGCGUAGAAUGAUGUGAUGGUCAGGAAGAACACCCUUCCUCCCAACAACCAGGUGCUGUGUCUAACCUCGGCUGAUGUGAGGAAAACUCAACGCAGAGACAACCCAUGGAAAGCUGCUGGACCAGACAACAUUCCUGGCAGAGUGCUCAGAGGAUGUGCAGACCAGCUCGUGGAUGUUCUCACUGACCUCAACAUCUCCUUGAGCAGCGCCAUCAUUCCAACGUGCUUCAGGGAUACCACCAUUGUCCUCAUGCCGAAGAAGUCUUGCCUCAGUGACUACCGUGCCUUUGCGCUCACAUCCAUAAUCAUGAAGUGCUUCGAGAGACUCAUCAUGAGGCACAUCAAGACCCUACUGCCCCCCUCAUUGGACCUGCUGCAGUUCUCCUAUCGUCCCAACCGCUCAGCAGAUGAUUUCAUUGCCACCACCCUACAUUUGGCCCUUACCCACCUGUUCAAGAAGGACACCUACAUUCGAAUACUGUUCAUAGACUUCACUUCAGCAUUCAAACAACUAUUCUUCAGCACCUGAAUGGAAAGCUGAACCUACUGGAAUUGAACACCUCCCUCUGCAACUGGAUCCUGGACUUCCUGACUGGGAGACUGGAGUCGGUACGGAUCAGGAACGGCAUCUUCAGCACCACCACAGUGAGCAUGGGGGCCCCCUCAGGGCUGUGUGCUCAGGCCACUGCUGUUCACUCUGCUCACUCAUGACUGUGCAGCAAUGCACAGCUUAAAUCCAC